UGUAGGGUGGUGGAAUUGGCAAACACACCUCCUUGUCUCGGUGGCGGAGAGCACGGGAAAAUCCGGCAACGGACCAACCGCUCCUUGAAGGUUCGAAUCCUUCCCCUACAG
rnacentral:tRNA from 1 species